CAAAAAAAUUGUACAAAUCGGGGACUUUGUAUCGGAUUUAUUAUUUUCAUUGCACUAGUUUGGUUUUUGCAAGAAAGGACAACAGUUCGGAUUCUCCGCUAUGUCAUUCUCUUCAUUGGUAGAGGCUCUCU